GACGAACGCUGGCGGCGUGCUUAACACAUGCAAGUCGAACGUGAUUUUUGUGGAAAUUCUUUCGGGAAUGGAAAUGAAAUGAAGGUGGCGAACGGGUGAGUAACACGUGAGCAACCUACCUUACACAGGGGGAUAGCCGUUGGAAACGACGAUUAAUACCGCAUGAGACCACAGAAUCGCAUGAUAUAGGGGUCAAAGAUUUAUCGGUGUAAGAAGGGCUCGCGUCUGAUUAGCUAGUUGGAAGGGUAAAGGCCUACCAAGGCGACGAUCAGUAGCCGGUCUGAGAGGAUGAACGGCCACAUUGGAACUGAGACACGGUCCAAACUCCUACGGGAGGCAGCAGUGGGGAAUAUUGCACAAUGGGGGGAACCCUGAUGCAGCGACGCCGCGUGAGCGAAGAAGGUUUUCGAAUCGUAAAGCUCUGUCCUAUGAGAAGAUAAUGACGGUAGCAUAGGAGGAAGCCCCGGCUAAAUACGUG
rnacentral:rRNA from 1 species